GUGGGGGAUAUUGCGCAAUGGGCGAAAGCCUGACGCAGCGACGCCGCGUGGGUGAUGAAGGCCUUCGGGUCGUAAAGCCCUGUCGAGGGGGACGAAUAAGCCUGAUCCUAAUACGGUCAGGCCCUGACGGUACCCCUAAAGGAAGCACCGGCUAACUCCGUGCCAGCAGCCGCGGUAAUACGGAGGGUGCAAGCGUUGUUCGGAAUCACUGGGCGUAAAGGGCGUGUAGGCGGUCCGUUAAGUCUGAUGUGAAAGCCCGAGGCUUACCCUCGGAAGUGCAUUGGAGACUGGCAGACUAGAGUCCCGGAGAGGAGGGUGGAAUUCCUGGUGUAGCGGUGAAAUGCGUAGAUAUCAGGAGGAACACCGGUGGCGAAGGCGGCCCUCUGGACGGUGACUGACGCUGAGACGCGAAAGCGUGGGGAGCAAACAGGAUUAGAAACCCGAGUAGUCC
rnacentral:rRNA from 1 species